GAUGAAGAACGUAGCGAAAUGCGAUACUUGGUGUGAAUUGCAGAAUCCCGCGAAUCAUCGAGUUUUUGAACGCAAGUUGCGCCCGAAGCCAUUCGGCCGAGGGCACGUCUGCCUGGGUGUCACGCAUCGUUGCCCCCCCAAUCUCCGGUUCGGGCGGGGCGGAAGUUGGCCUCCCGUGCGUGCCUGCGCGCGCGGUUAGCCCAAAAGCGAGUCCUCGGCGACGAGCGCCACGACAAUCGGUGGUUUUUUUACCCUCGUUCCUCGUCGUGCGUGUCCCGUCGCCCGAACGCGCUCUUGUGACCCUCACGCGUCGCCUCGGCGGCGCUCCCAACGCGACCCCAGGUCAGGCGGGACUACCCGCUGAGUUUAAGCAUAUCAAUAAGCGGAGGA
rnacentral:misc_RNA from 1 species